AGAGACACAGACCGAGAGAGAAAAAGGCUGUAGGCUUUAUUGAGCAGAUUGAAAGGACAAAGCUUCCACAGUGUGGAAGGGGUCCCGAGCGGGUAGCCAGAGUUAGAUUAUGUGACUGCCUUUUAAACUCUUUAAGGCCGGAAAUACGUGUGGCGAGAUGUUACCAGAGCGAGAAACAAAGGCAAUUAACCGUUUGUAACAUGUCUUAGAUCUUGAGGAAAACUGGAAUUGCAACUUAGGUUUUAUCUACUUUAUGAACUUGCAGCAGCAUGGCAAAGGAGACGGGAUCUUACAGGACUUUGUUACAAAGACCGAAGUAAGUCCUGAUGCAGGAAAUGAGUGACUUUCACAGCUUUCUGAGCCCCUACUCAACCCAGGAAGUCCAGCUGGCACCUCCUCUGGAUCACAAGCACUUUGGGAGGCCAAAGCAAGAGGAUUGCUCGAGCCCAGGAGUUUGAGACCAGACUGGACAACAUAGUAAACCUCAUCCCUACAAAAAAAAAAAAAAAGUAAAAAACGAAGCUGAAGGAUCUUUUGAGCCCGGGAGGUCGAGAUUGCAAUGAGCCGUGAUCAUGCCAUUACACUUACACCUGGGUGGCAGAGUGAGACCCUGCCUCAAAAAAAUAAAUAAAUAAAAAAUAAAUCUUAAAUUGACUAUAAAUGCUUUUGCUUAGAAGACCUAGAUUGUCUAGAAACAUAAGAGAUCUACAAAGAACUAUAUCCAAAUAUUUAGUUAUUUCUGAUAGGGUUCCAUUUCUCAUUUUCAGAGAAAGCUGCCAGGAUAUGAUCAGUGUUCCUAACAGUUCUUGCUGAUUAGAAGAACUUCAUCAGGAGUUAGUAUUCAACACUCUACUGUACUGUAAUAUAAUCUUUUUCUGCCUCUACUGCCCCAUGCAUGCAUUAUAGAUGGGAUUCACAAAAACACACAGAGAACAAAUAUUUGAUUCCCCGAAGACAGUAAUUUCAAAUUCAACUUAGAACAAAUAUAUUUUUCUCCAAAAGUCUAAUCUAUGAUUUUAUGUGGUUCACUUUAUCAAUUGAUCAUUCUAAUUUUCUUGCCAACCUCUGGCAUUCUGAGAAGUUCACCUUCCAUUCACAUAUAAGAAGAUGUCCUCAUGUGUUUAUAGUGUGGCUGUGAGUCAUUGGGUGGCACCAACUCUUUGUGCCAUUUCAUUUAUCUAUUUUAAAGCAAACUUUCAUCUGAUUAGAUCUACUUAAUUUUGUUAUAAAUAGUCCUUUCAUCCUAUUGCUGUUUAUAGAGUAUCCUUCAGUGUAUAAAAAUAAAGGCAAAUAUAGCUAUAAUGUAUUUUAGAAAUACUCUACUAUUACCUUUUCGCUUAACAUAUUUUUAUACAAUUAUUAUCUGGAACAAAGUUUCUCAAGCUUUGGUCGACAUUAGUAUCAUCUAUGAAUUUUUUUUCUUGUAUUUGCAA
ensembl:lncRNA novel transcript